rnacentral:rRNA from 1 species
GACGGAGGGUGCUAGCGUUGUUCGGAAUUACUGGGCGUAAAGGGCGCGUAGGCGGCUGCUCAAGUCGGGUGUGAAAGCCCGGGGCUCAACCCCGGAACGGCACCCGAGACUGGGCGGCUCGAGACCGGGAGAGGAGGGUGGAAUACCCAGUGUAGAGGUGAAAUUCGUAGAUAUUGGGUGGAACACCGGUGGCGAAAGCGGCUCUCUGGCCCGGUUCUGACGCUGAGGCGCGAAAGCGUGGGUAGCGAACAGG